UACGAAGGGGGCUAGCGUUGCUCGGAAUGACUGGGCGUAAAGGGCGCGUAGGCGGCCACCGCAAGUCGGUUGUGAAAUCUCCGGGCUUAACCCGGAAAGGUCAAUCGAUACUGCGGGGCUAGAGUGCAGAAGGGGCAACUGGAAUUCUCGGUGUAGCGGUGAAAUGCGUAGAUAUCGAGAGGAACACCUGCGGCGAAGGCGGGUUGCUGGGCUGACACUGACGCUGAAGCGCGAAAGCUAGGGGAGCGAACGGG
rnacentral:rRNA from 1 species